rnacentral:tRNA from 1 species
CUGGGUGAGGCAAAAGGUUAACGCACUUGGCUGCUAACCAAAAGCUUGGAGGUUUGAAUCCACCCAGA